UUUGAUCAUGGCUCAGAACGUACGCUGGCGGCACGCCUAAUACAUGCAAGUCGAACGAAGUAGCAAUACUUAGUGGCAGACGGGUGAGUAACAUGUAGGUAUCUACCCUUUGGCCUGGAAUAACACGAGGAAACUUGUGCUAAUACCGGAUAAGUCUUUACGGAGAAAGCUUUAUGCACCAUUGGAUGAGCCUGCACUUGAUUAGUUUGUUGGUGGGGUAAUGGCCUACCAAGACUGUGAUCAAUAGCUGAUUUGAGAGGAUGAUCAGCCACAUUGGGACUGAGACACGGCCCAAACUCCUACGGGAGGCAGCAGUAAGGAAUCUUGCACAAUGGGGGAAACCCUGAUGCAGCGAUGCCGCGUGAGUGAAGAAGGCCCUUGGGUUGUAAAACUCUUUCGUCGGGGAAGAAAAUGACUGUACCCGAAUAAGAAGGUCCGGCUAACUUCGUGCCAGCAGCCGCGGUAAUACGAAGGGACCUAGCGUAGUUCGGAAUUACUGGGCUUAAAGAGCUCGUAGGUGGUUAAAAAAGUUGAUGGUGAAAUCCCAAGGCUCAACCUUGGAACUGCCAUCAAAACUUUUUAGCUAGAGUGUGAUAGAGGUAAGUGGAAUUUCUAGUGUAGAGGUGAAAUUCGUAGAUAUUAGAAAGAACACCAAAUGCGAAGGCAACUUACUGGGUCACUACUGACACUGAGGAGCGAAAGCAUGGGUAGCGAAGAGGAUUAGAUACCCUCGUAGUCCAUGCCGUAAACGAUGUGUGCUAGACGUUGGAAAUAUAUUUUUCAGUGUCGCAGCGAAAGCAUUAAGCACACCGCCUGGGGAGUACGACCGCAAGGUUAAAACUCAAAUGAAUUGACGGGGACCCGCACAAGCAGUGGAGCAUGUGGUUUAAUUCGAAGAUACGCGCAGAACCUUACCAACGCUUGACAUGUUCGUCGCGAGACUAAGAGAUUAGUUUCUUCAGUUCGGCUGGACGAAACACAGGUGCUGCAUGGCUGUCGUCAGCUCGUGUCGUGAGAUGUUGGGUUAAGUCCCGCAACGAGCGCAACCCCUACUUUUAGUUGCCACCAUUUAGUUGGGCACUUUAAAAGAACUGCCAGUGAUAAGCUGGAGGAAGGUGGGGAUGACGUCAAGUCCUCAUGGCCCUUAUGUGUUGGGCUACACACGUGCUACAAUGGCACUUACAAUGGGAAGCAAAGAGGUGACUCUAAGCUAAUCCCAAAAAUGUGUCUCAGUUCGGAUUGUACUCUGUAACUCGAGUGCAUGAAGCUGGAAUUGCUAGUAAUCGCGGAUCAGCGCGCCGCGGUGAAUACGUUCCCGGGUCUUGUACACACCGCCCGUCACACCAUGGAAGUUGGUUACACCUUAAGGCAAAGCUUAUACCUUUGACUACGGUACGAUCAGCAACUGGGGUGAAGUCGUAACAAGGUAGCCGUA
rnacentral:rRNA from 1 species